CGGGGAUCAAGCAGCCUCCCUGCCGAAUGGCUCGCCAUCCAAGCGCUGC
ncrna:unclassified sequences chromate-resist RNA